GAGUGAGCUUGGACUUCGUAACACAGCCAAAUAAAUAAAUAGAUAAAUACUAAAAAAAAAAAAAGUAUGGAGACCGCAAUCUAUAAGCCAAGAAGAGAAUCCUCACCACAAGCCAAUCCUUCUCACACCCUGAUCUUGGACUUUCAGCUUCCAAACUUAUGAGAAAAAUCAGUGUCAGUUUAAGCCACCCAGUCUACGGUGUUUUGCUUUAGCAGCCUGAGCACAGACUCAUACAGAGACUCCAGAAUGUAGAGAGGUUUACCCGAGUGACUCCAAAUUUCAGUGUCCACCCCACUCUGGUUUUAUAGUCUCUUUGCCUCAGCUCUUAGCUAUUACCUCUCGCCGCCAAUAAGGUCAUUCCCUUUAGCACAGCCACCCGUUCCUCACUUAAAUCUUACUCGUUUUCUAGUAUUAAACUGUCCUGUGCGAUCAGAAAAAGAAAGCUUGUUAGAAGUGUGGAUAAAGCGAGAGUUCAUAGGUUCCGAGUGAGGGUCUGAAUUCCUCUCCCUGAAGAGUACGUGUGUUUUAAUGCAGAGACUUUAUCGCGAGGACUUUUUAGAUGCCCGGAAGCCAUUGCUUUCUUACUCUGGCGUCCUUGUUAUACUCUUGUAAAGCUGAGGUUGCCGAACGGUGGCCUAAGGAAAAACGCAGCAUCAUAGUAACGUCUCACUUUCCUGAACUGGAUAGAACUCAGUGAAAUGUCUUGUAAAAUCAGGUCUUCACCUCACACCUGAGGAUCCUCUGGCUUGAAAUUAUUAGAAACUUGGCUUCUGGCCCCUGCUACAGGCCCCCUGAUCUGGUUAAUUGUUAUGGAUUUUUCCAGCAAGUAAAAGCCUUUGGAGUUUGGAAAGAGCAGGCUUUGUUUUUUCUCCUAAAGAAAACCAGCUCCGGUGCUUCUGCCUAGAGACACAGGCCUUGGGAAACUGUCGCUAUCAAGGAGAGAAGUGGGCCUCUGCUGAGCCUGGAAAUGCUUCUGGGCCUGGGUGGCUGUGUGGUCCUGCAGACAAGACCGGCCUUCCUUAUCUGCUCAGGCACGAGUUGUCAGGCACCACCCAGGGUGACACUGUUACUGGGUUGUGGAUAAGGAAGGAGCCUGUUCACAGUGACUCCCAGCCCAGGGAAGGGUCAGAGUCUCUUGAUCUUGCUGGAAUUUACAUAUAUACAACUUCCAAGUACUCAGGGCAUCACUGAGUUUCAAAAGUCUGUGGCUUCAUAGACACAACAGCUUCUUCAUUUGCAGGUUGGAGAUAAAAACGACCCCCAGAAUUGCUGUCAGGAAUAGCCUACGAAGUACCUAAAACACAACACGAAGCCUGGCGCUGGGUGUUAUCAUAACUACACUCUCUGGGCUGUUUCAGCUCUUUCCAUCUGGAAAGUGGGCUCCUCGAGGGAAGAGGGGUGACUUUGACUUCCUCUUCACCAAGGCCACAAGCUUGGCAAACUGUGAUUUUUGGUAAGGAGUGAAUGAAUAAAUG
ensembl:lncRNA